UUAACGAGACGGGAGAAGA
rnacentral:tRNA from 1 species